UGGCAUCUUACUUUCACGGCCACUCCACUUCACCGGUGACGAAUCCAUGGUUGUGGUUGUUUCUGUCAUCAACUCGUCCUGUUCAUUUCCCGUCGUCGUUCUAUCGGUGUCCUUAUUAAUGGGUUUUAUGUGCAAAUUGGAUCAUUUUAUUUUGAAAGUUGAAUUGAUUUCCUAUGCUAAUUGAAGUGAUUUGUGGUUGUUCAUUGGCUACUUUGAUG
rnacentral:lncRNA from 1 species